rnacentral:lncRNA from 1 species
UAGGUAUUAACUACGGGGUAAAUAGUUUAAUCAAAAUAAAUAGGCUAAAUUACAGAAAACCCUCCUAUAAUAAUCCGUUUUUUCACUUUCCCCUCCUGACAUUUAAAAACCUACACUUUGCCCUUUGUAAAAUAAAAAAUGUGCACUUCACCCCUACCGUUAGGGUUCCGUUAGGGGUUUUGUUAAAAAAUAUUUUUUUAUACCGAAAAUACCUCUCUGCCUCUUCUCUGAUGCUUCGCUCCCUCCGGCUCGCCGCUUCGCCGCCUCGCCGCCUCGCCGUCCUCCACUGCUUCGCCCUCGCCCACAUCCCCUUCGUCCUCCUCCGCCGCCUCGCCUUCGCCCUCGUUGUCCCUGCCUACCUCUCCAUCAACACCCAUCUUAGUAUCCUCCCUACUGUCGCUGAAAUCGAUGGGCGGCGACGGUGUAGGAGGAGAAGGGGAGCAGGUGGAGAAGAAAUUG